GUCAGGGUGGCGGCAGCGGAUCUACCCCGUGCAUCAAACUGUCCGCUCUAACAGGCCGAAGCGGUUCCCUGUGAGUAGACUCCUUAAUUGGGGUUGAAAACGCCUACGCAUCAACCACAUGCAUAUGGGACGUCGGCCAAUGCUACUGUGAACAAACCAGCGUGUCCAAAGCAGGCUUGCCUGAAUGUUCGAGCAUGGAAUAACAAGGGAUCAAUUAUCUCGGUUCUUUUUGUUGGUUUUUAGCCCGAGAAGGAGUAAUGCAGGCCACGGUGUCUGAGGUGGGUUUCCCUAGGCUUCGGUUUAGGCCCCAUCUAGGCCGUGUCCUUACGGGAUCAAUAGGGACUGACGGGGUCGUACCUACUUCCGCGUCAGAGGUGAAAUUCUUAGAUCGCGGAAAGAGGAACUUCUGCGAAAGCAUUCGACAAGAAUGUCUUCAUUAAUCAAGAACGAGAGUGUGGGGAUCGAAGAUGAUCAGAUGCCGUCGUAGUCCACACUGUAAACAAUGCCGUCUCAGGAUUGAGAAGUGAACAUAAUGACUUUCACAGCACUAACCCCUGAAACGAGAAAUCAAAUAUUAUGGGUUCAGGGGGGAGUACAUUCGCAAGGCUGGAACUUAAAGGAAUUGACGGAGUGACACCACAAGGCGUGGAGUAUGCGGCUUAAUUGGACUCAACACGGGGAAUUU
rnacentral:rRNA from 1 species